GCGACUGUCGUAUAAUGGUUAUUACCUAUGCUUCCCAAGCAUAAGAAGGGGGUCCGAUUCCCCUCAGUCGCU
rnacentral:tRNA from 1 species